GAUCAUGGCUCAGGAUGAACGCUAGCGACAGGCCUAACACAUGCAAGUCGAGGGGCAGCGGGGAGGUAGCAAUACCUUUGCCGGCGACCGGCGCACGGGUGAGUAACACGUAUGCAAUCCACCUGUAACAGGGGGGAUAACCCGGAGAAAUCCGGACUAAUACCCCAUAAUAUGGGCUCUCCGCAUGGAGGGUUCAUUAAAAGAGAGCAAUUUUGGUUACAGACGAGCAUGCGCUCCAUUAG
rnacentral:rRNA from 1 species